UUCUGUUCACGAACCAGGAGAGUGAAUUCUACAGCCCUAAUCUUAAUAUUCAUUGUCUAAGUAAAAUCAACCAAGUUUAAGCAUCCACCUUGAGGUGAGCCUUUAAGGGCCUAGACUUAUUACCUGAAUUGCCCCACUCCCUCUGCCUUAUUUAAAAUAUCUAGGGUGUGUGUGCAUGCAUCUUCUACUAAGCCUUUAUUUUACCCAUUCUCAAAAAUAAGAGUCAACAACUGCAACAGACUCAGCACUGGAGGGAGGCGAGGUGGUAGGACUCCUAUGUCUAGUAGAGACUGCUAGUUGUUUAAGGCUGACAUCCAUUCUUUUUGAUCAGAGUCUGUGUUAAACAGUUCUAUGAGAUGGGUAUUUUUAUUAAUAUCACCUCUAUUUUAAAAUUAGAAAAUUAAGAGGUUAAAUAACUCUCAAGGUCACAUACUCAAGAUCAUAUAGCUAAUAAGUGCUAGAGCCAGUAUUUGAACUCAGUCUGUCUCCAGGCUCUGUGCUCAUAACCUUGACACUAUUGUCAAGUAACUGAGUGCAAGCGUCUAUGGAAAAGACUCCUAACCAGGACAUGAAGGGGAAUCAGAUAAGUGGAGAGGGUACAAAGGGGAGAUGGCAGAACUCCAAAGGCAAUUCUGUCUGCCCUACCCCUGGAGAGGCCUAGAUGGAAUAUUUGUAACUGAAUAUUAUGCAUUCAAUGAGCAUUUGAGCUGGCCAGGACUUGGAAAAACUAGACUGAUGCUGUGAUGGCUAAUUUUAUGUGUCACCUUGACUGGGCAAAGGGAUGCCCAGAUACCUGGUAAAAAUGUUAUUUCUGGGUGUGUCCAUGAUCGUGUUUUCAGAAGAGAUUAGCAUUUGAAUUGAUAGAGUGAAUAAAGAAGAUCCAUCCUCACUGAUGUGAGUGGACAUCAUCCAAUCCACUGAGGGCUUGAAUAGAACAAAAAACAGAGGGAAGGCAAAUUAUCCCUUUCUUUUCUUAAGCUGGGAUAUCCAUCUUCUCCUACCCUCAGACACUGGAGCUUCUGGCUCUUGGGACUCUAGCAGAACCCCACCUGCUCACCCCCAGGCCUCAGGCCUUCAGAUUAGGACUGAAUACCGCCACUGGCUUUCCUGGUUCUCCAGCUUGCAGAUGGCAGAUGAUGAGACUUCUCAGAGACUUCUCAGCCUCCAUAAUCACGGCCUCCGCUCCCCUACCCGCAAUGCCAUGCUAGCUGAUCUUGGACCUGCGACCCUUGCCUUCAUCUGUGCCAAGACCCACACAAACAGUGAUGAAGCAUCACAGCCGGAGGUGGGAGAGCCUCUACCAGGACAGUGCUAGCAUUGGAACUGGUGCUCCUUUAAGCGUCUACUGCAGUGGAAACUUGUUCUGUACCCGGAAAGGCCCAAGACAUUGCUUCUUGAGGGCAUACAGCUUUUAAUGACCAUUGGACAAAUGCUACAUUAUUUAGCAUUGAGACAAAUGGAAAUCCAUCAGCCUCUGUAAGGGGGUGAAAGUGGCUGACAGUCUUGCUUAUAAUCUUCAACUUAUUUGGGUAAACUACCUACUAAUGUUUUACAGCUUUAACUUUAUCUUACUAGAAGUCUAAAGGGUUUUUGGUUAUAAGUGGAAACAUGUAGAACGUCUAAAAAAAACAACAAGGGGAAAUAAGAAUUUAUUUUUCACUCGUAGAUUGUGUGUGUGUGUGUGUGUGUGUUUUAUUUUGUACUUUCUUCCACUUGAGUACUGCAUUAGUGAUCUUUACAUGGGUCCAACAUAAAAAAGUCCCAAACAAUAAGAAGGUAUUAAAUACUUUCGUAACAUUAUGUAGCCAUCUCUACUAUCCAUCCCCGUAUCUCCUUUCUUCUUAUAAAAUUAAAACUCUGUACCCAUUAAACAAUAACUCCCCAUUCUUCCCUCCCCCAGCCCCUGGCAACCACAAUUCAACUUUCUUUCCCACUGACUUUGACUUCUUUAGACCAAAAGUCUGGAGAACUGGGCUUUAGAUUUGCAUUCGACAUGGGCUCUUUAAUUUGUCUGUUAUGUAAUUCAUUUGCUCAUUGUUAGAAAAAUUUACCAUUCAGAGCCCUUUGUGAAUAUGUAAGAAUAUACUUGAAACAGAGCAAGCAACAGAGGAAAGUAUGCUUAAUACCCAUCUGGCUAUUAUUCUCACUAUUCACAUUAUUUUUUAAAGACUCUUCAAACCUCCAAAAAAAUCCUCAAGGGCUUCCUGUUGCCUACACAACAAAGCCCAGACUCGUUGGCAUGCUAUUCAGGACCGUCAAGAAUGAGGCUCCAGCACAGGUGUGGGGGCUCACACCUGUAAUUCCAACACUUUGGGAGGCUGAGGUUGGAGGAUUGCUUGAGGCCAGGAGUUCAAGACCAGCCUGGGCAACAUAGUGAAACCCUGGCUCUACAAAAAUUUUUUAAAAAUUAGCUAGGCGUGGAGGCAUGCACCUGUAGUCCCAGCUGCUCGGGAGGCUGAGGUGGGAGGAUCACUGAAGCCCCACAGGUUGAGGCUGCAGUGAGCCAUGAUCAUGCCACUGUGCUACAGACUGGGCUACAGAACGAAAUUUUGUCUCAAAAAAAUAAGACUCCACUAGCCCCUAUUGUGUCUCUGUGUAAGUUAGAAAAGACGCCCCCUCCUCUGGGUGGUUGGAGCAUGGCUGAUGAGUUGAUGGAGGGUUGAGUUUCAUUCCCCCACAGCCCGUGUGGCAGGAUUCCUUAGAGCC
ensembl:lncRNA